AUUGAACGCUGGCGGCGUGCUUAACACAUGCAAGUCGAUCGGUAACAGGUGUAGCAAUACAUGCUGACGAGAGGCGGACGGGUGAGUAAUGCUUGGGAAUCUGCCUAUUAGUCGGGGACAACCCGGGGAAACUCGGGCUAAUACCGCAUACGCUCUACGGAGGAAAGCCGGGGACCGCAAGGCCUGGCGCUAAUAGAUGAGCCCAAGUCGGAUUAGCUAGUUGGUAGGGUAACGGCCUACCAAGGCGACAAUCCGUAGCUGGUCUGAGAGGAUGACCAGCCACACCGGAACUGAGACACGGUCCGGACUCCUACGGGAGGCAGCAGUGGGGAAUAUUGGACAAUGGGGGCAACCCUGAUCCAGCGACGCCGCGUGGGUGAAGAAGGCCUGCGGGUUGUAAAGCCCUUUCGGUAGGGGAAGAAAAGUCUCGACCUAAUACGUCGGGACCUUGACGUAACCCACUAAAGAAGCACCGGCUAACUCUGUGCCAGCCGCCGCCGUAAG
rnacentral:rRNA from 1 species